rnacentral:rRNA from 1 species
UACGUAGGGCGCAAGCGUUGUCCGGAAUUAUUGGGCGUAAAGAGCUCGUAGGCGGCUUGUCACGUCGGAUGUGAAAGCCCGGGGCUUAACCCCGGGUCUGCAUUCGAUACGGGCAGGCUAGAGUGUGGUAGGGGAGAUCGGAAUUCCUGGUGUAGCGGUGAAAUGCGCAGAUAUCAGGAGGAACACCGGUGGCGAAGGCGGGUCUCUGGGCCGUAACUGACGCUGAGGAGCGAAAGCGUGGGGAGCGAACAGG